rnacentral:rRNA from 1 species
AUUGAACGCUGGCGGCAGGCCUAACACAUGCAAGUCGAGCGGAUGAAGGGAGCUUGCUCCUGGAUUCAGCGGCGGACGGGUGAGUAAUGCCUAGGAAUCUGCCUGGUAGUGGGGGAUAACGUCCGGAAACGGGCGCUAAUACCGCAUACGUCCUGAGGGAGAAAGUGGGGGAUCUUCGGACCUCACGCUAUCAGAUGAGCCUAGGUCGGAUUAGCUAGUUGGUGGGGUAAAGGCCUACCAAGGCGACGAUCCGUAACUGGCCUGAGAGGAUGAUCAGUCACACUGGAACUGAGACACGGUCCAGACUCCUACGGGAGGCAGCAGUGGGGAAUAUUGGACAAUGGGCGAAAGACUGAUCCAGCCAUGCCGCGUGUGUGAAGAAGGUAUUCGGAUUGUAAAGCACUUUAAGUUGGGAGGAAGGGCAGUAAGUUAAUACCUUGCUGUUUUGACGUUACCAACAGAAUAAGCACCGGCUAACUUCGUG